GACAGAGGGGGCAAGCGUUGCUCGGAAUCACUGGGCGUAAAGGGCGCGUAGGCGGGAUGGCAAGUCGGUCGUGAAAUCCCUGGGCUCAACUCAGGGGGGUCGGCCGAUACUGCCGUUCUUGAGGGAUGCAGAGGAGACUGGAAUUCCCGGUGUAGCGGUGGAAUGUGUAGAUAUCAGGAAGAACACCGGUGGCGAAGGCGGCUUGCUGGGCCAUCACUGACGCUGAAACACGAAAGCGUGGGGAGCAAACGGG
rnacentral:rRNA from 1 species